CUCCUUCAACAAUGCACAAUUUAUCUUGCAGAUUUCUAAUUGCUUGUCUACGAUGGAGGUUUAACAACUUCACAUCUCCUUCUUUCAUGAGAUUAAUUCAAAAAGAAUUCUAUUUAAAAAUAAAGUGGCAUCAAUUGGAUCAAAAUCGAUUACCUACAGAUUGUUGGCAAACACAUGAGUCGGGCAAGUUGGAGAUCACAAUUAAGACUGCAUCCUGGCUAACCUUCAAUUUAAUUCAUUGCAUUGUGUUAAUAUGUAAAUAGAACAUUUGUAGAAAUCUUUAAAUCUCUGGAUCUAACUUUCAAUACAUUGUUCACUUUUCAAUUAGUAUAUGUUUUUCUUAAAUAAAACAGACUCUAAAGAGUCAUUUGGUGUGAGUAUAAUGUAUAAUAAUUUCAGGACAAAAUGUUUGAAUUAUUUUAUUUUAUGUUUAGUUGGGGA